UUACAUUUAAAUAUGUAGCUAAAAUUGAUAACUUUCUGGGAAAAUAUAUAUGAUAAAUUAAAAAGAAGAAAUUGGGAAUGUAAAUAAACCAUUAAUCAUGAAAGACUUUGAAAUGGCAAUGAAAGCACUAUCCCAGAUACUUCACAAAAUUCCCAAGAUUGUAUAGAUAUGUUUUACCGACAUUUUUGGAACAGGUUAUCUUUAUAUUAAAUAAAUUGUUCUAAAAAAUAAAAAAAUGUGGGGAGCUAUUAUUCCCUCAAUCUAAACCAUGUAAACCUUGAACUGGAAAAUGAUUAUAAUUUAGUUUUAUAACUAACUAUAAAACAUAUUUAUACAAAUCCUUAGCAUAAUAUUAAGUAAUCCAAUAGCGUUUUAAAACCAAUAUAGUGUGAGUAAAUACAAUUUACUUCAAGAAUUAUUUAAUGUCUGAAAAAUCCAUCAAUAUAAAAUAUUAAUGACCUAAAGUAUCCAUCACAUUCUCACCCGGAAUGACACAAAAAACAUAGGAUCGUGAACGAUAUCUUUUAAUAAAAAAAAUAAAAGCUUUAGAAAUCUAAAACCAGCAUUUUUCUUACUAGAAAAAUGUUUUUUAAAAAAUUCUAUAGGAAAUGCUACAUUUGGAGAAAAAUUUUCUGAUGCGUUUCUUUGAAGGUUGAGAAUAAGACAAAGAUGAUUGAUGAACAUCAAUGUUCCUAUGCUACUCAAGAGUUCUCUCUUACUAAAUAAGGUAAAGAAAAGAAAGAGGAGGCCUAAAUGCUAAGCAGAAAGAGGAUGUAUAUACCAUUUAUGAGAUUUCUCUUUAAAUCUCCGAUUCUAAGAAAACAGAGACAAUUGAUGGCCAAGAAACUACCUGUGGAUGGAAAAUGGAGAAGGUGAAGCAAUAUUGUUCCAUUAACUCCAAGAAAGGUCAAGAGGUUGUCACCUUGGUGACCAUCCCCUAGGCAAGGUGUUGGGGUGCUAGGAAGAAGGUGGAGGCUGACCAAUUCCCUCAUCUGACAGGUUGUGUGAACAUAAGGAUUGGCUCUCAAGAUGAAGCAGCCAUUUGAAGCUUCCAAAGACCACUCGAGCAUGACCAUUCAUUAAGAAUUUCAAUUUUGACAGAAGCAGAUGUAACAGGUUUCUUUUUAUCUCUGUUGUUCAUAAAAAAAAACUGCCUAAAGAAGGGUGAAUCUUCUCUGUUAGCCCCUUAACGGGAUAAGACAUUCGAAUUAAGAAAAUGAAAUUGAAGAGGGAUGAUCUGCUUGGCAUAAGACAAGAAGGAGAGCUGAGUACUCUGAAGUGUAAUCUUGCAUGGGAUUUGAGCAGAGGCUAGUGAGAAGAAAAGCAAAAGUAAAUGGUAUUGUGAUCCCGGAAAUGUUCAAUGUAAUCUGCCAAGCUCAUACAUGCUUUAGGUGAGUGAUUUUCAGUGGUGAAAAUUCUAAAAACAAUAGUUUAUAUCAGAUAUUUUGUGAUGUGAACUGAAGCAACAUUCCAAUAAUAAGCCUAUGCCACAAUUCCUGUUCUCCACUUGGGACUGGUAGAGACUGUUAGAGGUUUAGGGGUUACCCUGGCCACAGUAUUGAGGGGUUCAAGGCAAAACCACAUGGAUAUCAAGAAGCAGAUGACUCUCCUCCUCCCUUACGCCACAUCCAAACAAGUGAAGUCUGGAUUUUAAAAAUACAUUCAUUUGUAAUAUUAUUUCUUGGAAUAAAACAACUAUUUCAUACUUGUUGAAUUAAUGACUAAAGAAAAUACAAAAAGACUUUGCACUCACAACCUGUAUUAAUUAAUUCAUCUUGAAAAUAAAACUACUAAUGGUAAUCAUAUUUUAAUGUAAAAUAAAAUCAGUUUAAACAAAACAAGACACCAAUAUUAAUAGCAUGAAAUAUCCAGUUGUCUUAACUGAGUGUGCUAUGUAAAUGCAAUUACCUUAAGUGCUUUCCCUUUUCAUCCAAAAGAGAAUUUGUUUAUACUAUGUAGAGGCAAAUACCAUAUAUAAAAAAUGUCUUCUGGUGAUAAAUGUUUUUCAUUUUAUGCAACCUUCUUGAAUUGCAUUUUGUGUGUUUACAAAUAUAUACCAAGCCUCCCAGAUAUUGGCAAAAGAAAAGUAUAACCUAUCCAAAAAUCUUCCGUUUAUAUAAAAUAUACAAAUUGCUGCUAAGAAAUGACAUAACUUUAUUCUAUCAAUUCUAUAGUCUAAGCGUUUUAAAGUAUAGCUGGAAGGGAUCUCAAAAGGAUCAUCUAAUCCAGUAUUAAGGCAAGAGCUUGUCUAAGCUAUGCUAGACAGUAGGAGGCCCAUUUCUUUUUUUAUAUUUUUGCUUCCUCAGACAUGGGAAACCACUGUUCAUACAAAUUUCACCUAGCAACCAUCAAAGGGUUUGAAAACAAUUAAUAGAUCACUCCCCAGCUGCUACUUCUGAAAGCUAAACACAAAUUCUUUAGCCAUUUCCUGAGAAAACCCAGUUAUCCAGACUUCAACUAUUUUUGUGACUAUUCAGAACUGAGGUUUCUUUUCUUGCAUUUUUAAAAAUGUGAAAACCCAGAGGUAUACAAAACAAGGCAAAAAGAGCAAGGUGAUGCACAUUAGAAGAGAGAAUGUAUCUUAUUACACAAUGGAUUUGGCUUCUUUCACAGCAGCACCAUAAUGCAGACUUAGGCACAUCUCAGGGCUCAUGCUGAAAAUCAGAUCUCGCUCCCCGUUUCAACGAUCUCCAGUUAGUUCUUCCUGAACUUGGCAUUUUAUUCAAGUUUAAACUUGUAUUAUUUUUAUUAAGAGUGGUAAAAUAAUUAGUUUACUAUUACAGGAAAAAAAAAAAAAAGUUUGAAGUCAGUGGCCUGGAUCGGAAUCUCUGCUGGUUGUGUGGCCUGGACUGUAAUGUCCUCAACUCUAAAAUGUGAAAAUUAUUCUCUACAUUCUAGAUUAGAUAAUUUGUGGGACUGUCUUAGAAGCCAUAUAUAAAUCACUACCACAGGGCCUGUUGUAUAAUAGCCAUUCCACUAGAGUUAACUUUCUACCCCAAAUUGCUUCUUCCUGAAAUAUUUGCUGCCUGGUCACUUAAGUUAGAGGUAUAAAGUCAACCUUCAUUAUUUCUUCUUUUUUAGCUUCCACUUCCAGUUAUUUUUUUUUCCUUUCAUCCCUAAGAUAUUAUUUCAAGCCUUCAUUAUCAUACAAUUAGAAGGUUGCAGUUGAUUCCUAGCUUUCAUUCCUCCACUCUUUUCCCUCUCCAUUUUAUUUUAUUUAUUUAUGUUUUGAGACAGGGUCUUGCUCUGUCACCCAGGGUGAAGG
rnacentral:lncRNA from 1 species